AGAGUUCAGUGAAACAUAGAAAAGCAUAUUUUCAGACUUUAAAAACAGCCUAGAAGAGUCUGCAUAAAUCUUAACAUCGAUGAGGAGAGACCUUACAAAUGUGGAAAGAAAUUAUAUGACAGACUAAUAGGAAAGCAAGCUGGAAGACAAUGGAGACCAAAAUUCCUGGCAGGAAUUGAGACAUCUCCUCAGGUCUUUGGUAUUUUACAGAUGCAUCCCUUCACUGGAAAUAACUUGACAGAAUUCUGCCCCAUCAUUUUGGGAAUUAUCACAUUAAAACCAGGAAACAAGGGGGCAAGAGUGACUCCAACAACAGGCAUGGAUUUUGGACUCUGCUGACAUACCUUUUGCAGCUGCAUGAUGGGGUUCAGCACUUAAGAGAGUCUUACUGCUAGUUCUUGGAUUUUAUUUUGUGCUUGCAUUGGUUUGUUGAUUACUUGUUCAAAAAACAAUGGUGGUGGUAAUGGCUCUAUUCAUGUCACCUUUCUCUGAAAGUUUCUGAGAAGCAACAGAAGCCAGUCUAUUUUUCCCUUGUUUACUGUAUCUCAUCAAUUUCCCAGUCCUAUAAUGAUAUGCUUGGCAAAGUUCUCACAGGUUUUGCAAUAGCUUAAUUUACUGUGGGUUUAAGUACACAAAACUAAACAAUUUGGCAAGUACAGUAUGCUGACAGAUUUCGAUAUGUUCAGAUAUAAGAGCAUGUCUAUUAAUUACACAUUUCUGCAGACCAGAGGAUGAAUUGCAUUCUUCUAUAACCAGGUUUAGUGAUACCUUUUAGAUACACUGCUUGCAAUAUAGAAGGAAGCACUCGCUCCUUUCUGGAGUCAUGUAUUUAUGCUCUGAUUUAAUUGUAAUAAUUGGUCAGGGAGCAUCAUCCUCAGCCUUCAGGGCUGCACUUCUGUCUGCAAAUGUAGAUGCAUGAAUGUGGAUAUUCUCCAGAAGACGUGCUAGCACAAUAAGACCAGAAAAACCCCCACCUAUCAUUCUGAAAAUUAAUAUUAUCUUAAUAAGCAGAAUGUAGGCUGUCCAGAACAACCACCAGUUAGCUCAUGCUAGACUAUAUAGUAACAAUAUGAUUUUAAAGCAGUCUCUCCAUGCACAAAGUGCAUGUACAUGCUACACAUUAGUAGUAACUCACUCCACAUAACAAAAAUGUGGAGAACUUAAAUUUUGAGGUUUUGUUUGCAUCAUUUAUGUGCCUUUAGAGCCACUUAACAGUUAAAAUCUGGUUCCUGAAAGUUGCUAGAGGUACAGCUAUGUGAUCUAUGAAGCAUAAAAUGAAAGAAAAAAUAAUGUAAAAUUAAACAUGAAAUUAAAUUGAUCUCCUUGUUGACGUGAAGCCAGCCAAAAAGGUCUGUUAUGUUUUAGACAACAGUACUUGUGUUAACUGGAGAAUAGAGUCAUGGGACUGUACCUGAACCUUUCCCUGGAAAAACCUUACGUAGUAGCAUUAUUCCUUAAAAAAAGGUGUUAAGGCUUACAGUCAGCUUUGGAGACACAUUGAAUAACAGUAGAAUAGCUAAAAGCAAACCAAACCCUUUGCUGGUUUCACCUGAUAGGUCUCACUCAGCUUCCAGAGUCCCAGUAUGGCUGUACAGUAGAGCUCUAAUAGUUCACACAUUGGGCAGCUCUGCAGCCCAGCAGUCCUGGGCACAGCUCAGGUGAACACAGCUCUCCAGCACAGCACCUUAAAUGAAAGGCACAUUUAUACUAAAUAUACUACUUCGGGAUGUGACUGGGUUACGAUGAUGAUACUUGAAGGUUAUGACAGGUAAUGACGAGGUAAUGAUAAUACUUGAAACAGAUCAAGAGCAUUAAAAAAAAAGAAAAGAAAACCAAAAAAAAC